rnacentral:antisense_RNA from 1 species
GAGAACAGCUCAGGGAAGCUUCUUGGGAAAGGAAUUGUGGGAGUUCCCUCUGCCAGGGACCCACUGUGGUAAGAGCUUUAAGGUGAAUAUCCACUUCGAGGCCGGCUCAACCACCGUCUUCAGAGAACUCUCCCACACUGGCCACAGCCUAUCUGCCAGCAUCACCCAUUGGCUAGGUCUUUGCCCAUAAUGUGUCAAGGGCAAAACAGAGGGGUGGGUAUGUGCACGUGCAUCAGCCCAGGGGCCCGUACAUGGCUGGCGUCCAGGUAAGGCAGGCCUGGGGCAGACAUUCCUUACACAGCUCCCACCCUACUCUUAAGCACAUUUAGGCAGCUGGGCCACCUUAGCCUUGGAGGGGAGGACACCAACGGGGCCCGCCUUCCCAACAGUCAGAGACAGACCCACACCCCAGUGGGUACCCAAGGCUUCUUUCCUUAGGCCCCAUCCCAUUUAGGAAGUUGGGAAACCCACUGGGUGAGCCCAAAGGCUACCAAAGCCUG